rnacentral:rRNA from 1 species
GGGGGGGGGGGGGGGGGGGCGUAGGGCGGGCGGGGCGGGGGGGGAGGCGGGGGGGGGGGCUCGGGGGGCGGGGGGGUGGGUAGGACGGGGGUGGUGGGCCCUGCACUGGGGGAUAAGCCUGGGGAACGGGGUCUAAUCCGGAAGAGGACGGCGCGCGGCAGGGUGCGGGGUGGGAGGGUUUUGCGGUGUGGGAUGGGCCCGCGGCCUAUCAGGUUGUGGUUGGGGUAAUGGCCUACCAAGGCUACGACGGGUAGCCGGCCUGAGAGGUGGACCGGCCACACUGGGACUGAGAUACGGCCCAGACUCCUACGGGAGGCAGCAGUGGGGAAUAUUGCACAAUGGGCGCAAGCCUGAUGCAGCGACGCCGCGUGAGGGAUGACGGCCUUCGGGUUGUAAACCUCUUUCACCAGGGACGAAGCGCAAGUGACGGUACCUGGAGAAGAAGCACCGGCCAACUACGUG